GAUGAACGCUGGCGGCGUGCCUAAUACAUGCAAGUCGAGCGAACGGACGAGAAGCUUGCUUCUCUGAUGUUAGCGGCGGACGGGUGAGUAACACGUGGAUAACCUACCUAUAAGACUGGGAUAACUUCGGGAAACCGUAGCUAAUACCGGAUAAUAUUUUGAACCGCAUGGUUCAAAAUUGAAAGACGGUCUUGCUGUCACUUAUAGAUGGAUCCGCGCUGCAUUAGCUAGUUGGUAAGGUAACGGCUUACCAAGGCAACGAUGCAUAGCCGACCUGAGAGGGUGAUCGGCCACACUGGAACUGAGACACGGUCCAGACUCCUACGGGAGGCAGCAGUAGGGAAUCUUCCGCAAUGGGCGAAAGCCUGACGGAGCAACGCCGCGUGAGUGAUGAAGGUCUUCGGAUCGUAAAACUCUGUUAUUAGGGAAGAACAUAUGUGUAAGUAAAUGUGCACAUCUUGACGGUACCUAAUCAGAAAGCCACGGCUAACUACGUG
rnacentral:rRNA from 1 species